rnacentral:rRNA from 1 species
GCUCAGAUUGAACGCUGGCGGCAUGCCUUACACAUGCAAGUCGAACGGUAACAGGUCUUUCGGGAUGCUGACGAGUGGCGAACGGGUGAGUAAUACAUCGGAACGUGCCUAGUAGUGGGGGAUAACUACUCGAAAGAGUGGCUAAUACCGCAUGAGAUCUAUGGAUGAAAGCAGGGGACCUUCGGGCCUUGUGCUACUAGAGCGGCCGAUGGCAGAUUAGGUAGUUGGUGGGAUAAAAGCUUACCAAGC